GGGUCAGUAGGUUGGUCGUGCCACCGGUACGUACUGGUCUCACUGAUUCCUCCUUCCUGAAGAACCUUAAUGCCAUUAAUUUGGUGUUGCGGGGAAACAGGACUGUUACUUUGAAAAAAUUAGAGUGUUUAAAGCAAGCUAACGCUUGAAUACAUUAGCAUGGAAUAAUGAAAUAGGACGAUCGAUCCUAUUUUGUUGGUUUCUAGGAUUGACGUA
rnacentral:rRNA from 1 species